CCAAUACUUAGGCCACCUGAUAUGAAGAACUGACUCACUGGCAAAGAUCCUGAUGCUGGGAAAGAUUGAAGGCAGGAGAAGGGGACGACAAAGGAUGAGAUUGUUGGAUAGCAUCACUGACUUGAUGGACAUGAGUUUGAGUCUCUGGUCCGGGCUGACGGUCUUCCAAACCCUCUUCUACCUGGUGUACGUCUGGAGGAUCGACUGGAACCGUGCGGCAGAGCAGAUCUGUCCAACCUGGAGAAAGAAGCACUGGCUGGGGCCAUCCUGCUGGACCUCACCUGACCCAAGAGCCAGACUGCGCAGCUAAUCAGGGCAGCCCCUGCCAUGACGUCCUGAUGGGGACUCAGCUGACUGUGUUAGGGCCGAGCGGCUGCAGUUUUGGCUGUUGCUGUCCUCGCAGUGGGAAUUUUAAUAAGACUCUUCACUGACCAUGGCUGAAAUGGAAUCAUCCCAGCCCCAAACUACCAGUGAGAACAAUAUGCCACACGUGCCGCAUGGGAGGUGAGCUCUUCACCUGGACCGUGGCUUCGGUCCCAGCCGAGCAGGAAAGGGAUGCCAGCUUCAUGUUCUUAUUCUGAAGAUUCACAUGAUCAUCCUGGACAUCAAGAAAAGCAUUACAAUUUUAAGUGAACUUUUCUCCCAAAUGUUAACUCUUAUCGUGGUUUUUAAGUCUGCACGUUGGUGUCCCUGGCUGGCUGUGUUCUUUAUCCCACCUUACAUUUAACACCUUCUGUCUUCCAGGAGAGCAGGUCCUCUAGCAGUAACUGCUGGCCACGGUGUGUGUGUGGCACUCUUGUGUGUCCAGUCUCAUGUGUGAGUGUGCAUGAAGUCCUGUCUCGGGCAGUGCC
ensembl:lncRNA